GACGAACGCUGGCGGCGUGCCUAAUACAUGCAAGUCGAACGAGCGGCGGACGGGUGCGUGAUGUCUGGGAAACUGCCUGCUGGAGGGGGAUAACUACUGUAAACGGUAGCUAAUACCGCAUCCCCUCAGAGGUCCCCAGAUGGGAUUAGCUAGUAGGUGGGGUAACGGCUCACCUAGGCGACGCUCCCUAGCUGGUCUGAGAGGAUGACCAGCCACACUGGGACUGCGACACGGUCCAGACUCCUACGGGAGGAAGCAGUGGGGAAUAUUGCACAAUGGGCGAAAGCCUGAUGCAGCCAUGCCGCGUGUGUGAAGAAGGCCUUCGGGUUGUAAAGCACUUUCAGCGGGGAGGCGUUACCCGCAGAAGAAGCACCGGCUAACUCCGUGCCAGCAGCCGCGGUAAUAC
rnacentral:rRNA from 1 species